GACGAGCUCACAUACACACUGUUUCGCUCCACCAUGGUCGCACUCCACAACCACCGCUCCACCACCAAAAUCCCAAUGUUUUAUGAAGCACAACCUCUGGAUUUAGAACUCAUUUUGUGGGGAAUAAUCUUAUUCUGCCCUAAACAAGUGGAAGUGUACAUGUUCUUCUUUCAAAGGGAAUCUGAGAUACUAUCUUGCUAAUUGUUCUAAGUCAUGUGAUUGCCAUUCAGGUAUGGGUCAAGCUUGAUUCUACAAAUGUAAUGUUGUAAAAUCACUAAUUGAUGGGCGAUGAAGAAGGUGCAUCCAUAUGGAUAUGCAUAUGUGAUCCAAAUGGGUUUCCUAAAGUGACAACAAAUGGCUAUAACCUUUAUUGCUUUAAUGCCUGCAAGUGCAACUGAGGCACUCUACAGAUCGUGAAGUUGCUCUUAUGAUGCUAAUGGCAUACCUCUCCUACAUGCUGGCUGAAGUACGUUUUAAAUAACUUUAGUAUGUAGUUAUGUUAUCUGAGUGGCAUUCUCACUGUAUUCUUUUGUGGGAUUGUUAUGCCACUGAAAGAUGGAAGUAAUGUGGCAGUCAAGAGCCCAAAACAUCAAGGAAGGCCGGAAGUAGACUCUGAUUUUACUGAGGUUGUGAUAUAUAGUAUACUCUUGUUGGCCUUCAACUGAAAAAACCAUGGAAGUGAUAAAGUCCAAGUUUGAGAAUUUACAUGGCCUUUGUAAUUGUUGUGGUGCAAUUGACAGAACACACAUGUUGAUGACUUUUCCCUCUACAGACUCUGGAUAAUGUAUAGCUUGAUCAUGUGAAGAAUUGCAGCAUGGUUUUACUUGAUAAUAGAGCAGUGGAUGGUGAUUGCCAAUUCCAGAUCAUCAACCAAAGUUUUCGUAGAUGAUUUGAAAAGUUGUAAUUAUUUAAUGCCAUUUUUAGGCUAAACAAAUAGAUGUAGCUAAUUGUUAAGAUAUGUAUAAUGACUUUUGUAAUUGUAUUACACUAUAGCUCAUUU